AUUGAACGCUGGCGGCAGGCCUAACACAUGCAAGUCGAACGAGUGGCGGACGGGUGAGUAAUGUCUGGGAAACUGCCUGAUGGAGGGGGAUAACUACUGGAAACGGUAGCUAAUACCGCAUACCAUCGGAUGUGCCCAGAGGGGAUUAGCUAGUAGGUGGGGUAACGGCUCACCUAGGAGACGAUCCCUAGCUGGUCUGAGAGGAUGACCAGCAAACCUGGAACUGAGACACGGUCCAGACUCCUACGGGAGGCAGCAGUGGGGAAUAUUUGACAAUGGGCGCAAGCCUGAUGCAGCCAUGCCGCGUGUAUGAAGAAGGCCUGCGGGUUGUAAAGUACUUUCAGCAGGGAGGCGUUACCCGCAGAAGAAGCACCGGCUAACUCCGUGCCAGCAGCCGCGGUAAUUC
rnacentral:rRNA from 1 species